rnacentral:lncRNA from 1 species
GAGGGACCGAAAAUAUACUUUUAUCUUGCCCAAAAUACAUCCUAAGGUGUCUGUUACAUCACAAUUUUAUUGUUUUGAAAAAUAACAAACAUAGUUUAUUCAUCCAUGUACUUCUCUUUACUUUGUGCUAUUUCUCUCAACUCGUUGUCAUGUACUUUGCUCUGACAAUGAGUGAACUGGCCUCUCACAGAACGGUGAACUUAAAGAAAUCGAUCUUUAUCGAUAAGGAUUAUGUCCUUUCUGCAUGCACGCGCUAGACUUGAUGCAUCGAUCGAUCGAUCGAUUGAUUCUUCCGUUUUUUAUUAAAAACUAAGGGUCUAGCUGUAGAUCAGUCCACUGAGAAACAUCGACAAGGCUGUACGUAGCAGAAGUCCCUGGUCUUCCUUUUUUUUUAUUUUGAGCGAACAGAAGUCCCCGAUCGAUCCUUCCCUCGUCGUUUGUAGUUCGGUUUUUUUCCCCUAUUUCGGUUACGUCGGAGCACGGUAGGAUGCCGGACACACCUUUUUUUUUUUCAGUGGAGGACGAGGUGAUCGCUCCGGCGAUCGUCGGCGUGGCGAUAGACACAAAGUGUAGACACAAAAGUUUACUCAGGUUCGGACCAUCCGGAGGUGUAAUACCCUACGUCCUGUUUUGAGUUGUAUUUACGAGUUUGAGUGCGUACAGAUCACUCGAGAGGUUCCCGGGUAAGGGUCCUGACUUCGCUCUCAAGGAAGUCACUAGUGGAGCUCACUUCACCUUUGUGGUGUUGAGAGAAGAGAAUGGGGUGAUCCUUUGUGACGUCUCUAUCUUUGUGGCAGAGUGCUCCUCCAAACGGAGACAUACAACUACCCAAUCGGUAGUACUCUAGUGAAAUUCUUCGUCUCUCAUGUGUUAUCAUUUUCACCAUUUACAUUAUUGCUAUUUAUUGUUACUUCGGCUAUUUCACUUCGUACUAGGGUUGCAUUCACUUUAGAGAAUUUAGUAAAUCCUAGAAUUAAGUGAUUGUAUCUUCUAGAAAAGAAAACGAAAAAAAUAAAAUUUGGUAUUCGCCUGUUCAGCCCCCAAUCUUUCAUUAACUCACUAGUAUUGGGUCUUGGUCCACCCUGCACUUAUUUCAUACUUGUCCCUUUUAGGGGAGCUCUCCAGCUGGUUGCAAACUGCAACCAAACAACCAUCUUGCUCCCACUGGCUCUUGCUCAAGUAGGCUAGUUAAAGUCAGCCUGACAAAGCUAGAUCAACUACUAAUCCAAACGUUCCCUAUUGUCUCGCAAGAAAGGCCGUCAGUCUAGCGAUAGAAACACCAAAAUCAUCACGCAAUCAUUGUAGCCAGACCUCUACUGUCAAAAUGUUUUUUUUUCUGGUUCUUGUUUUUUCUAAAGUUUUUGAAAACAAAAAGAAAGUUUUUUUGGGUCUUGCUUUUUAAAAAGACUUUUUUGAAAACACCAAAAAAUGUACUAUUAUUUUUCUUUGGCUUUUCCUUUUGUUAUUUUUUGUUUUCAACAAAAAAAAUAUACAAAAUAGUUUUUUUUCAUCUUUCAUUUUCGAUUUAGUUUUCUAAGACAAAUGAGAACUCACUAAAAAAAGACAAAAAAUAUAUCAAGUGUGGUGAGAGAAAUCAUCUACAAAGAUAACCUCGUAGCGAGUAACCACUAACCGAUGGAAACAAAUUAGGGCCUCCUUUGCUCGCUAAUCUUUUCCAAGUGUAAAUGGAUGAAACCGGGUAAGGAUAAGACUGACACAACAUUGUUUUUGGAUUGGUAAAGAGUUUUCUUGACUCUGAUUUUAACCAUGGUAAUUGGCUAGAAAACAACCAUCGAGAAGAGAUCUUAGUUUGUAGUUGUUGAACCAUAUUAUAUUGAACUUAUUUUACAAUAUGCUAUGCAAUAUGCGAAUUGAACAAUGACUCAUUGGUGGCUUGUUUUGGGCACUUUUGGGCCUUUUGGCAGACGGGAUUUAGUUCAGUAGUUUGAUUGAUGCAAAAAGAUUUAACAACGCUACACGCUAUGACGUUUCGGAUCGAAUAGUGUCGUACGAUAAAAAUUGCUUAACAUAGCGUGGGUUCUUUGAGGAUCUGAACAGGAAACCUUGACUUUUGCCUGCAUAUACACUAGUUCUACUAGGACAAGCAAUAAAACACAUGUGAGUUAGUAGGUGUGGAAUAUAUCAGAGCAUUUCUAGCUGAUCUCCCAUAUUUCGAUGCGUAAAAACGUGUUAGCAACUUACCGCAAAUAUGUUUUGCGGUAUCAAUUUUACCCAGACAGAACGUAUGCCUUAAACUUGGCCCGUGAACUAGUUUACGGGAUCUAUUCCGCC